rnacentral:lncRNA from 1 species
GUCAGUCGAGACGUCGUCGUUUUCUGCUUGGUCAUUUUAUCCUUUUGUAAAACGACGUCGUCCCACUGAUAUAAGCUUCUCCAUCUGCAAACGGCGUCGUUUUGAUCCGGUCUCAACGUCUCCCCCACUUAUAGCUCCCCUUCGUCUUCUCCUUCAGCUGGUUCAACCACCCAUCAUCAUCUUCUUCUUCAUAAAAAGACGUCGUCUCAGUUGUAUCCCAUCACCUUCUUCGAAAAACGACGUCGUUCAACUGCUAUCACCGUGUGAACUGAUGGCUUCAUCAGGUUCUCAUAUGAUUAUUGUGAUAUUGUUG